CGACCAACGCCGCCGAAUCAUGUGCGGUGACCGGUCCACCCCCGGAUCGACACCGCCCGGGAACCGGGGAACCAUCUUCCCGGGGUGAAUCCGCGUUCUUCGCGGUAGGGCUUUUCUUCCGAGCCCGAACCCGUCAGCUAACCCGGUAGGCGGCCAGAAGCGGAAGA
rnacentral:sRNA from 1 species